GACUCAACGCGGGAAUCUUACCGGGUCCGGACACACUGAGGAUUGACAGGUUCCGAGAGAUUUUUGCAUUUUGCAAAUUCUCUCUUAAAUAUGCUAGUCCUUUCAUGAUUAUGUGAUAGGUGGUGCAUGGCCGUUCUUAGUUCGUGGAGUGAUCUGUCUGCUUAAUUGCGUUUCACUAAAGGCGUCAUAUCAUUUUUGUGCUUGUGUUUGACCCCUCUUUUCGGAGAGCGCGUGUCUUCACACACAAUUACCUUGGCGUCUGAAAGCAACGAACGUGACCGUAACCUCUUGUUGCCUUCUUUUCUUUAUUGAAUGCUGUUUCAUUUGUUUACGAAUGCUCAGUAUAUGGAGGCUUUUUUUACCAACAACUAGAGGGACCGCUGUUACUUUCUUUAAACCAGAGGAAGGUUGCGGCAAUAACAGGUCUGUGAUGCCCUUAGAUGUUCCGGGCUGCACACGUGAUACAUUGAUUACUUCAGUGAGUAUCUACGUUUUAACUGCGUGGCUUUACAAAUUUUUAUUUUCUUCGGAAGGUAAUUUUUUGUUUGCCGCCUCAACCUGCUUCGAAAGUAUGUGGGUAACCAAUUAGAAGUAGUGAUUUCCUUUUUUUUAUAAGCACACUUAUAUGGAGCAUCAUCACCCGGCAUACCUUGUUGUAUGUUUUUGUGUGUGUUGUUUGCUUUUCCAUGUGCUUUUGUCAAUUCAUAGUGGGGACAGACCAUUGUUAAUUGUUGGUCUCGGUCUUAACUAGGAAUGCCUUGUACGAGUUUUUGGUUCAA
rnacentral:rRNA from 1 species